GCAGGAUUUAGUGUAGGGUGUUAUUGUCUUUCCAAUCUUUCUCUUUUGUUCCCGUCUUCCACUUCGUCUUCCUCUAAGCUUAAAAUUAUUUUCUGGGAACGUGAGGGGUGCGGUGUCUGGGCUAGUGGGGGCUGGUGAGUGCGUAUUUCUAAAAAAUGGUCCUCAUUAUCAAAGUCUGAAUCGACUGAUAAAAGUUGGUACCUAUUAGGGUGAUUGGGAAUAGUGGGUGAUUUUGAGUAGUUAGAAUACUCAUUUUGAUCAUUUGUAUACCUUGAUCUUUGUGGUUUGGGUGAAAAGUUUAAACCAGAAGAGUUGUAGUAUCUAGGGGAUUGAGGUACAGGAUUAGAGUUGUGGUGAGGAAAUUUCCUUAGUUUAUGUGGGGGUAAUUGGUAUGUGUUGGUGGUACCUUGAUAAGGUAAUUUAGAAGGGACGUAGUGCUGGUGAGAGAAAGUAUUUUUGGGUCUCAUUGUAGAUGGGGAUUGAUGAUGGGACUUCCGUGUGAUAUAAUUCUGGUAUUUGGAAGAUGGUUGGUAUGCCAUAUUAGUGUAAGAAUGGGAAUUGUUGUGUGUAUAAUUAAGAUUUUGAUAAUUUGGUCUAGAGGGAUAAUUGUCU